UACGUAGGGAGCGAGCGUUGUCCGGAUUCAUUGGGCGUAAAGAGCUCGUAGGCGGCUUGAUUAGUCGGAUGUGAAACCUCCAGGCUCAACCUGGAGUCGCCAUCCGAUACUGUCAUGGCUAGAGUCCGGUAGGGGCCCACGGAAUUCCUGGUGUAGCGGUGAAAUGCGCAGAUAUCAGGAGGAACACCAAUGGCGAAGGCAGCUCGCUGGGACGGUACUGACGCUGAGACGCGAAAGCGUGGGGAGCAAACAGG
rnacentral:rRNA from 1 species